UACGUAGGGCGCAAGCGUUGUCCGGAAUUAUUGGGCGUAAAGCGCGCGCAGGCGGCUGUUCAAGUCCGAUGUGAAAUCUUCCGGCUUAACUGGAAAACGGCAUUGGAUACUGGACGGCUGGAAGGUGGGAGAGGGUAGCGGAAUUCCCGGUGUAGUGGUGAAAUGCGUAGAUAUCGGGAGGAACACCAAUGGCGAAGGCAGCUCGCUGGGACGGUACUGACGCUGAGACGCGAAAGCGUGGGGAGCAAACAGG
rnacentral:rRNA from 1 species